rnacentral:rRNA from 1 species
AUCGUAAGGUUUGCUGGAGGUAUCAGAAGUGCGAAUGCUGACAUGAGUAACGACAAAGGGGGUGAAAAACCUCCUCGCCGGAAGACCAAGGGUUCCUGUCCAACGUUAAUCGGGGCAGGGUGAGUCGACCCCUAAGGUGAGGCCGAAAGGCGUAAUCGAUGGGAAACGGGUUAAUAUUCCCGUACUUCUGACUAUUGCGAUGGGGGGACGGAGAAGGCUAGGUGGGCCAGGCGACGGUUGUCCUGGUUCAAGUGCGUAGGCUUGAGAGUUAGGUAAAUCCGGCUCUCUCUAAGGCUGAGACACGACGUCGAGCUGCUACGGCAGUGAAGUCAUUGAUGCCAUGCUUCCAGGAAAAGCCUCUAAGCUUCAGAUAGUCAGGAAUCGUACCCCAAACCGACACAGGUGGUCGGGUAGAGAAUACCAAGGCGCUUGAGAGAACUCGGGUGAAGGAACUAGGCAAAAUGGUACCGUAACUUCGGGAGAAGGUACGCUCUUGAUGGUGAAGUCCCUCGCGGAUGGAGCUGACGAGAGUCGCAGAUACCAGGUGGCUGCAACUGUUUAUUAAAAACACAGCACUGUGCAAAAUCGCAAGAUGACGUAUACGGUGUGACGCCUGCCCGGUGCCGGAAGGUUAAUUGAUGGGGUUAGCGCAAGCGAAGCUCUUGAUCGAAGCCCCGGUAAACGGCGGCCGUAACUAUAACGGUCCUAAGGUAGCGAAAUUCCUUGUCGGGUAAGUUCCGACCUGCACGAAUGGCGUAAUGAUGGCCACGCUGUCUCCACCCGAGACUCAGUGAAAUUGAAAUCGCUGUGAAGAUGCAGUGUACCCGCGGCUAGACGGAAAGACCCCGUGAACCUUUACUACAGCUUGGCACUGAACAUUGAACCUACAUGUGUAGGAUAGGUGGGAGGCUAUGAAGACGUGACGCCAGUUGCGUUGGAGCCGUCCUUGAAAUACCACCCUUGUAUGUUUGAUGUUCUAACUUAGACCCAUUAUCUGGGUUGAGGACAGUGCCUGGUGGGUAGUUUGACUGGGGCGGUCUCCUCCCAAAGAGUAACGGAGGAGCACGAAGGUGGGCUAAUCACGGUUGGACAUCGUGAGGUUAGUGCAAUGGCAUAAGCCCGCUUAACUGCGAGAAUGACGGUUCGAGCAGGUGCGAAAGCAGGUCAUAGUGAUCCGGUGGUUCUGUAUGGAAGGGCCAUCGCUCAACGGAUAAAAGGUACUCCGGGGAUAACAGGCUGAUACCGCCCAAGAGUUCAUAUCGACGGCGGUGUUUGGCACCUCGAUGUCGGCUCAUCACAUCCUGGGGCUGAAGUCGGUCCCAAGGGUAUGGCUGUUCGCCAUUUAAAGUGGUACGCGAGCUGGGUUUAGAACGUCGUGAGACAGUUCGGUCCCUAUCUGCCGUGGGCGUUGGAAGAUUGAAGGGGGCUGCUCCUAGUACGAGAGGACCGGAGUGGACGAACCUCUGGUGUUCGGGUUGUGUCGCCAGACGCAUUGCCCGGUAGCUAAGUUCGGAAUUGAUAAGCGCUGAAAGCAUCUAAGCGCGAAGCGAGCCCUGAGAUGAGUCUUCCCUGA